GGCUGCUGGGGAAGACAUUGCAAAGUGUCAGCGCCGGUGUUCGAGAAUUAAUUUUACCCUGGAGUAGCCGUGCAGGUGUGUACACAACAACUCUAUGAGCUGUGUCUUGGGAUUGAUCCCCAUGUGACAUGUGAGGAAAUGGAAGCCUGAAAGAUGAAGUCACCUGCCAAAGGCCAUCCAGUCAUGCUUUGAAAACGGUGGAAGAGAACUCCAGGCUGGGGGAUAAAGAGAGAAAGAAGAAUUCUCGAGUUUCGGAGCUUGGUUAACCUCUUUUCUGUGAAAUCUAUGUGUUCUUUUGUGCAAUAAUGAAGAGAUGGGGGGAAAAAAAGAAUUGUCCCCACAUUAUCUACCACUAGGCCAGCCAAAAGGACCUCUGACUCAGGGAGCAAAGUGCACCCUGGAGCAAAGUGCACCCUGCUACAGGCUCAGUCCCCUCUCUUCUUCCCUACCAGAUGGUGCUCUUAGCACUUGUCCAUGAUUUGGGGGUCAGGAGCUGCCACAGAAAAAAUACAGAAAUCAUGGGGUCAGCGACCCAAAUACAAAAAUCUAUUUCGACUACAUUUUAACUACUCAACUUAAAGGCAAUAGCACAGGAGAAAGAAGCUCUGCUGUUGAAAUCAAUGAAUGAAUCUUCCAAGUCAUUUCUAGGCUACAUACAUACUGAAUUCCUCACUUUGCCAAACAUCCUACAAGGUUUGGUGUUCCAAGAGACCAUGGGAUUUCUAAGUCCAAUCCAUUCUGCUACUCUAGCCAGAGAGAACUUUCCAAAGCACGGAUUUCUCCCCUUCCAAUCUGUUUUGCAUAUUGCCACCAAAGUGAUUUUCCUAAAACAUGCACCUAUUCAUUUGACAAGUAUCUAUUUAGUUGCGGUUAGGUGUCAGGCACUUUUCCUAGGCCUAGUGAGUGCCUGGUGAAUAAGGCAGGAAGUACCUGCUUUCUCCUAAAGGGAAGAGAAGAUGCUAAAACAACAGACAUUAUUUCAAACAAGUAACAAAUAACAACAUAGAAAUCAAAACAGAGUAGGAGUGAUGAAGAGGUAGGAAGUGGCUUGGGUGGGGUGGGAUGAUCAUUUAGAUGAUAAGUCAUAUUGGAACCAAGACCUUAGGGACAAGAGUGAAAUUGGCUGUGCCAAGAUCUGAGCAUUCCAGACAAAGGAAAGAGGAGGUUCCUUAGAUAAAAAUAACCCUGAGUAUUAGAAGAACAUAAAGAAGCCCAGGAGACUGAAAGAUAGUAAGGGGAAAAAGAUAGGAGUUGGGACCAGAUAGUGAGGCCAAUAGAGUUGGCUCCCUAAGAAUGAAAAUAGAUUGGCUCAAGACAUAUUUUGGAGGUGGAGCUGUCAAAAAGUUGAUGUGAGGAGUUGGGAAAAAAAAUAAUUGAGGAUGACUCUGGGUUUUUAGCUUGAGCGACUGAGUAGAUGGCAGUACCAUUUUGAAUGGGGGCAGUAAGGGAGGCCAAGGAGGUAGAAAAACAAGUGUUCUGCUUCAGUGUGCUCCAUGCAAAGUAUUCACCAGAUGUGCAAGUGAAAAUGUCAGGUAGACAACUAGACACACAAAUCCAGAAGGAAACAGAAAUUUUGAACCAAAGAUAUAAGUUUAGGAGUCAUUGGUUUAUGUACCUGUUUCUUGAAGCUAUGAAACUCCCAGAGGAAGGAUCAAGGAGAGAAGAGCAGAGCCCUGGGGCAGCCUAGCAUGCAGUAGGCGGGCAACCAACAAAGGGUAAUAAGAAAGAUUUGGCCAGAGAGGUGGGAAGAAAACAAGGACAGUGACACCUAAUAAACCAGGUAAGGACAGUGGUCGAGGAAGGAGAUAUGAACCAUGCCGAAUGUCACUGAGCAACUGAGUCCAAUAAAAAAAGAGAAGUGACCAAUGGACUUGGCAAAAGCCUGUUGAGGUAAGCAGAACUGACCAUUGUCCUGGUGUCUUUGUGGUCUGUGGCCUGUCCCUUUGCUGCCCCCAUCUUUCAGGAGCCCUCCUGCCCUCUGCCUCCGUCAGAGCCAACCAGGGAGGCACAGAUGGAAACUACUUUUUCCAUCUCACCUUCAAGAGGAAGCAAAAGGCCUUACCCCUCUUAAAAGAAUUUUCAAGUUUGCAUAAAAAGCAGGAGAGACUGAGAUAGGGUAGGAAGACUUUCUCAGGCUCUGAACUUCAGCCUUCUCCCUUUCUGGUGCAAUGGAUCCCUUAGAGAGCACCACUGGUUGAGUUUAGAUGUGAUGGGUAGAGGCUAUCUAUCUGCAAAUCCCCCAGGCUCUGGCUCUCUCCUGCCCAGUGCUAUGGACUCACUUGUCUGACUGGCUUCUCUCCCAACUUCCUGCCAGGCAAGUGAGCACCUGCUGCAGAUCCUAAAGAGGUGAUGGUUCCCCCAGGUCAGGGAGGGAUUUCCAAGCCAGGUGAUGUUUGAGUUCAUGUUUUCAGAAAAAAAAAAUGAGUUUACAGAGUGAUAGAAACCUAAGGAUAGAGGGCAGGUAAAGAGGGAGAGAGAAGGACAUCAAAGGCUGAAACAAGAGAACCUAAGCAAAGGCACAAUUGUGAAAAGACAUUGGUGUGUCCUGGAAUGAUGGAGCUGGUUGAAUGGUGCACCCCACCCCCACCCGUGCCCAACGCCCGGAACGUGGGAAUGUGACCUUAUUUGGGAAAAAAGUGAUCUUUGCAGGUAUAAUUAAGGAAUUCUGCGCAAAUCAUCCAGGAUUAUCCAGGUGGGCCCUAAAUCCAAUAGCAGGUAUCCCUAAAAGAGAAAGGAAGAGAAAGAUUUGAGGCUGAAGACGGUAACACAAAGGAGGUCAUGUGAAGACAGGAGCAGAGACUGGAGAGAAGCUGCCAUGGCUGAGAGAUGCCUGGAACAGUCAGAAGCUGGAAGAGACAAGGACAGGUUUGUUCCGAGAGCCUUGAGAGGGAACAUGGCCCUGUGACCUCGAUUUCAGACUUGGGGUCUCCAGAACUAGAAGAGAAUAAAAUUCUGCUGUUUAAACUACCACAUUGGUGGUGAUUUGUUUUGCAGCAGACCCAGGAAACUCGAACAAAUGACCCAAAGUCACUGU